UAGAUACCCUAUUAUUUAAAAUUAAAAAUAUAUUUUAGGUAGUAGUAGUUAUGAUCUUGAAACUUAAAAAAUUUGGCGGUAUUUUAGUCUAUCCAGAGGAACCUGUCCUGUAAUCGAUAAUCCACGUUGGACCUUACUUGGUAAUGUAUUCAGUUUAUAUACCGUUGUUAUAAGAAUAUUUUAUUAGAAUAUUAAUUUUCUUAAAUUUUUAUAAGAUUUUAUAUCAGAUCAAGGUGUAGCUAAUAAUCAAGUAGAGAUGGGUUACAGUAAAUUUAUUUAUACGAAUUUUUUUAUGAAAUUAUUUUAUGAAGGUGGAUUUGGUAGUAAAAUUAUGUAUAUUGUUAGUUUGAUUUUGGCUCUAAAAUAUGC
rnacentral:rRNA from 1 species